rnacentral:rRNA from 1 species
GAUGAACGCUGGCGGCGUACCUAAUACAUGCAAGUCGAGCGAACAGAUAAGGAGCUUGCUCCUUUGACGUUAGCGGCGGACGGGUGAGUAACACGUGGGUAACCUACCUAUAAGACUGGGAUAACUUCGGGAAACCGGAGCUAAUACCGGAUAACAUUUGGAACCGCAUGGUUCUAAAGUGAAAGAUGGUUUUGCUAUCACUUAUAGAUGGACCCGCGCCGUAUUAGCUAGUUGGUAAGGUAACGGCUUACCAAGGCGACGAUACGUAGCCGACCUGAGAGGGUGAUCGGCCACACUGGAACUGAGACACGGUCCAGACUCCUACGGGAGGCAGCAGUAGGGAAUCUUCCGCAAUGGGCGAAAGCCUGACGGAGCAACGCCGCGUGAGUGAUGAAGGGUUUCGGCUCGUAAAACUCUGUUAUUAGGGAAGAACAAAUGUGUAAGUAACUGUGCACGUCUUGACGGUACCUAAUCAGAAAGCCACGGCUAACUACGUG